rnacentral:rRNA from 1 species
AGUAGUUUGAUCCUGGCUCAAGAACGACGCUGGCGGCAUGCCUAACACAUGCAAGUCGAACGAGUGCCUUCGGGUGCUAGUGGCGCACGGGUGCGUAACGCGUGGGAAUCUGCCCUUUGGUUCGGAAUAACAGUUGGAAACGACUGCUAAUACCGGAUGAUGACGAAAGUCCAAAGAUUUAUCGCCAGAGGAUGAGCCCGCGUAGGAUUAGCUAGUUGGUGUGGUAAAGGCGCACCAAGGCGACGAUCCUUAGCUGGUCUGAGAGGAUGAUCAGCCACACUGGGACUGAGACACGGCCCAGACUCCUACGGGAGGCAGCAGUGGGAAUAUUGGACAAUGGGCGAAAGCCUGAUCCAGCAAUGCCGCGUGAGUGAUGAAGGCCUUAGGGUUGUAAAGCUCUUUACCCGGGAUGAUAAUGACAGUACCGGGAGAAUAAGCUCCGGCUAACUCCGUG